rnacentral:rRNA from 1 species
CACGGAGUUAGCCGGUGCUUAUUCGUAUAGUACCUUCAGCUUCCCACACGUGGAAAGGUUUAUCCCUAUACAAAAGAAGUUUACAACCCAUAGGGCCGUCGUCCUUCACGCGGGAUGGCUGGAUCAGGCGCUAACCCAUUGUCCAAUAUUCCUCACUGCUGCCUCCCGUAGGAGUCUGGUCCGUGUCUCAGUACCAGUGUGGGGGAUCACCCUCUCAGGCCCCCUAAAGAUCACUGACUUGGUAGGCCGUUACCCUACCAACUAUCUAAUCUUGCGCGUGCCCAUCUCUAUCCACCGGAGUUUUCAAUAUUAAUUGAUGCCAAUCAAUAUAUUAUGGGGUAUUAAUCUUCCUUUCGAAAGGCUAUCCCCCUGAUAAAGGCAGGUUGCACACGUGUUCCGCACCCGUACGCCGCUCUCAAGAUCCCGAAAGAUCUCUACCGCUCAGCUUGCAUGUGUUAGGCCUCCCGCUAGCGUUCAUCCUGAGCCAGGAUCAAACUC